CAGAUUCAAUAGGAGUUGAUGUAAAGCAGUAAUUUAACCUUCUAAAUAAUUUUUAUGCAGCAGAGAGAGAGAGUGGGAGGACCCUUGUAGGUUGCUUAUGAUAUUGAGCAUACCAGCAAAUGUCAGGAGGACUGCCCCACCUUCUGACUAGAUAAUAUUUAAAAAUUGUAUCUUGUAACAACAAGUAUGGCAUCAUUGACAAAUUCAGACAUCAAACAGCAAUAAUGCAGUUCUUUCCCUGUGUCCCAGCUGGUCCUUAGAUCUGCCUCUCUUGUGUUGGUCUUGUGUUGACUGUAUGUACUCCUCAGGGAUUUGGUGGAACUAAAGACAGAGAUGGGCACGACAUUGCUGAACUGAUGGACAGCCAUAGCAGCAGCAGCAACUCCUGCAGAAAUGAAUAUAUUACAUCCAGUUUCAAUUCUAAGCUGUAGUCAUUUCACUUCUUUAAUGAAUUAUAAAACUGUUGACUACCAAAGUAAGGGUAUAAUCUGGAUUCAAAGGAAACUGGCUAUGCUCUUUAUCAGCAAUAUUGACAAGCUUCUAGCUAAAGUAACAAAACUGACCUCUCUCCCUCUCCUCUCUUGCAAAUGAAGAAUAAAAUCCCCAAACAAUAGAUACAUUAGAUUCUUUACUCUUAAUGGCAAAUGAAUUUACCAAAGGCUUCCAGGAAUUCUUCUACAUCAGAAGUUGACUUAGUUCUUAAAUUUUUUGGAAGGCUAAAUAUUUAUCUCUUAUGUUUAUGAGUUUGGUUUAAUAGUUUCUUUGUUAUUAUUCAUGGUUUUCAGGUAAUAGAUGAGUUAGUAAAUUAGCGUCAGACUAGACACUUUAAGAUCUAGUUACAUUUUGGUAUCACAUUUCUUUGAUCAAAUCUCUGUGGAGGUGACUUUGUUUUUGCAUCAAAUACACUUAUUGGUUUAGUAUAGUAACAAGUUGAUCAACCUUCUCUUAUUUAAAGAUAAUGUUCUUUGAAAGAAAAAAAAUUGUUGUUUAGUCCCAGCUCAAUGGUAUUUCAGCAGACCUAUAAUCAAAGGCAUUUCAGCUGUGACCAUCUCUUUCAUUUAAUAGUAUUUAUGACUGCUUUGUCUCUUGUGCCCCACCUUUUUAAAGAUAGUGUGUGAUUUGCUGUUUUUGUCAUAACAUAACCUUUCCCCAGAUUUCUGUUUGCUUGAUCAGACCUAUGGCCCAGAAGUAACCGAUCAAACAUUUAAAGUCAACAAUCUAUUAUCAAGGGUCAAACUUAACCCCUGGAUUAAUGUCCAUGCUAUGGCAUGUUUGUCUUUAUUAUAGCCAUAUUUACUUGACAUUUUGAUUUCAUGCAAUGAUUUUCUCAUGCACUUGUGGUUCCCAUUUUAAAGAUAAUUGUGGCUUUUAUAGCAAGAAAGUUGUUACUCGUAUCAAAACAAUUAUGUGAAGGCUCCAUUUCUAGUGAGCUGUUGUCAUUGUUGUUUAACCCCCAAAUAAGCCCUGAUCCAGUUGCCCUAUUUUAGGUUUUGUUUCUUCAUAUUACACUACUUGUAUUCUUUCCCUAA